AGAAAGUACAGUGGACUAAAUCAUCUGACAAUAGGAUUAAGUGCACCAGAACUGUAACUUUACUUUUGGGGAAUUUAACUUAAUUUCUGUUGUGAGACCCCCCUCCCCAGCCUCAUUUGCUAGGAAGGCAGAAGCUUCAUCUUCAGUAUUUUCUCCUCCACCUUUCAGGAAUGCCAAAAUUGCAGGGAUACAGUGCCCAGGAAUCAGACCAGCCGUAACUCGAGGGUCCACUGUAUGUGACAAGAAGGUGUUGUUUAUGAGAAAACAGAUCCUCGCCAGAUACCACCCUUUCCACAUCUUGAACUCUCCAUCCUCUACAACUGUAAGACAUAAACUUCUGUUUGUCUUAAGCCAACUUUCUGAUAUUUUGUUAUAGCAACAUAAAAAAACUAAGACCUUUUUCAUGGAAAAAGACUGGAAUUUUUUGAAAGGCCUACACUGAACAUUGGACUGAAUGGAUGGCUAAUAACUCCAAAAACAGAUAUUGUGCAGACCAC
rnacentral:lncRNA from 1 species